UACAGAGGUGGCAAGCGUUGUUCGGAAUUACUGGGCGUAAAGGGCGCGUAGGCGGCCUACUAAGUCAGACGUGAAAUCCCCCGGCUUAACCUGGGAACUGCGUCUGAUACUGGAAGGCUUGAGGAUGGGAGAGGGAUGUAGAAUUCCAGGUGUAGCGGUGAAAUGCGUAGAUAUCUGGAGGAAUACCGGUGGCGAAGGCGGCAUCCUGGACCAUUACUGACGCUGAGGCGCGAAAGCUAGGGGAGCGAACAGG
rnacentral:rRNA from 1 species